rnacentral:rRNA from 1 species
UACGAAGGGGGGCUAGCGUUGUUCGGAAUUACUGGGCGUAAAGCGCACGUAGGCGGAUUGUUAAGUCAGAGGUGAAAUCCCGGAGCUCAACUUCGGAACUGCCUUUGAUACUGGCAAUCUAGAGUCCGGAAGAGGUUAGUGGAAUUCCCAGUGUAGAGGUGAAAAUUCGUAGAUAUUGGGAAGAACACCAGUGGCGAAGGCGGCUAACUGGUCCGGUACUGACGCUGAGGCGCGAAAAGCCGUGGGGGAGCGAACAGG